CCUACGGGAGGCAGCAGUCGAGAAUCAUUCACAACGGGGGAAACCCUGAUGGUGCGACGCCGCGUGGGGGAAUGAAGGUCUUCGGAUUGUAAACCCCUGUCAUGUGGGAGCAAAUUAAAAAGAUAGUACCACAAGAGGAAGAGACGGCUAACUCUGUGCCAGCAGCCGCGGUAAUACAGAGGUCUCAAGCGUUGUUCGGAAUCACUGGGCGUAAAGCGUGCGUAGGCUGUUUCGUAAGUCGUGUGUGAAAGGCGCGGGCUCAACCCGCGGACGGCACAUGAUACUGCGAGACUAGAGUAAUGGAGGGGGAGCCGGAAUUCUUGGUGGAGCAGUGAAAUGCGGAGAUAUCGAGAGGAACACUCGUGGCGAAGGCGGGUUCCUGGACAUUAACUGACGCUGAGGCACGAAGGCCAGGGGAGCGAAAGGGAUUAGAUACCCCUGUAGUC
rnacentral:rRNA from 1 species